AUACGAUCGCUCUAUAAUAGACAGGUCGGUUGUGUACAUCUGAGCUAAGCUUCACCUCUUCGUUUUAUUACUCUAUGAUCUCUUCUGUAUGUUCAACAAGUCACUACAAAAAAACUGCAGUUCAAAAUGAUCAAAUCUGAUAUGGGAAAACAAGGAUAUCUCGGUCAAUUUUUUAGCUAAAGUUUUUAGGAUACCGUUGUUAACCGGGCCGGGCAUGUAACACUUAUUGAAGUCACGUUCACAGUCACUUCUAGAUAAUUUUUUUUUCAUUUAACAAAUUUGAAACUUUUUCUGACAAAUAUGAAGUUUGCUCCCUGGACUCUUGAUUUUUAUUUAGUCUGUGUUUAAACUUAAAUGUGAUACAUUCAUUUAAUUAAUAACUAUAUAAAUUUUCAAAACUUAAUUUCAUUUAACCCAACCCCGACUCAAGGAUCCCGGAAACACGGUUAAAUAUUGAGUUAAAAGAAAAAAAAAUUAUCAAUAUGUUACCAAUAUAUUUUAAAAAUAUAUAUAUAUAAUUUUGGUUCACUAAGACUUAAUAUUAAAAAUUAUUUUUCUGAUAAAAUACCAUGUGAAAGUAAGCUAUAUUGUACACUCUAAAUCGUACAUGUACAGUUUACUCAAUGCUACCCACCAGGAAUGCCAUUAUCAAAGCUGUACAACCAUCGAUUUUUUAAACCACCUUUUUUAAAUGAAGGAUUUGAAAUUUGUUAUGAGAAAGUUAAAAAUCCAUUGUUAUAUGCUGAUUGUUGUUAAAUGCUAAUAUGCAGAUAAAUGUAUUUUGAAGUGUUCCUUGUUUAAUUAUUACAAACAUGCAUUCUAUGUACAUGGUAAACUGUAUAGUUACAAUAUAAAUGUGAACUAACCUGUAUUUACUUUAGUUUUAAUUAUACGCCACACAAGGAGAUGCACCCCCCCCCCCAUAUAUUAAAAAAUUGUGAAAAACAUUUACUAACUGUGAAUUCCGAUGUUUCA